AAUGAACGUUGGCGGCGUGGAUUAGGCAUGCAAGUCGCGCGGACCAGCAAUGGUUAGCGGCGAAAGGGAGAGUAACGCGUGGGUUAUCUGCCUCUUGGGCCAGGAUAGCUGCGGGAAACUGCAGGUAAUACUGGAUAAUGUCUUCGGACCAAAGGUGUGAUUCCGCCGGGAGAUGAGCCCGCGUCCUAUUAGCUAGUUGGUGAGGUAAUGGCUCACCAAGGCUUAGAUGGGUAGGGGGUGCGAGAGCACGACCCCCCUCACUGGGACUGAGACACUGCCCAGACACCUACGGGUGGCUGCAGUCGAGGAUCUUCGGCAAUGGGCGAAAGCCUGACCGAGCGACGCCGCGUGUGGGAUGAAGGCCUUCGGGUUGUAAACCACUGUCGUAGAGGAGGAAAUUCUGGGGGGUUCUCCCCUCAGUUUGACCUAUUCUAGGAGGAAGUCAGGGCUAAGUUCGUGCCAGCAGCCGCCGUAA
rnacentral:rRNA from 1 species